UACGUAGGCAGCAAGCGUUGUUCGGAGUUACUGGGCGUAAAGAGUGCGUAGGUGGUGCCCUAAGUCUGUUGUGAAAUCUCCCGGCUUAACUGGGAGGGUGCGGUGGAAACUGGGGUGCUUGAGUGUGGGAGAGGUAAGCGGAAUUCCUGGUGUAGCGGUGAAAUGCGUAGAUAUCAGGAGGAACACCGGUGGUGUAGACGGCUUCUGGACCACGACUGACACUGAGGCACGAAAGCGUGGGUAGCAAACAGG
rnacentral:rRNA from 1 species